UACGUAGGGACCAAGCGUUGUUCGGAUUUACUGGGCGUAAAGGGCGCGUAGGUGGUUUGUCGCGUUGUUCGUGAAAACUCACAACUCAAUUGUGGGCGUGCGGGCGAUACGGGCAGACUGGAGUACUGCAGGGGAGACUGGAAUUCCUGGUGUAGCGGUGGAAUGCGCAGAUAUCAGGAGGAACACCGGUGGCGAAGGCGGGUCUCUGGGCAGUAACUGACGCUGAGGAGCGAAAGCGUGGGGAGCGAACCGG
rnacentral:rRNA from 1 species